rnacentral:other from 1 species
AUAUAUCUGCGAUGUUCGAGCAGCUCUAGUAAUUCAACCGACAAGACAGACACGGGAGUCUGUGUUCGGCAAAGGAUAACAAGCCUCCUUGAGAGGACGUUUGAUGUUGUCGACAAGAAACCCACCUUAUUAAAGGGCGGGUCUGAAUUCCAAGAGUUAUACGGCACCGCGGAUUCAAA